CCUGAGCCCGACCCAGAGCCCAGGCCCCGCAGGCUGAGGGCGGGACGGGCUGAACCAGGGCGGCGGCAGCCGGGCGCGAAGGCGGCGCGAAGGCGGCGCGAAGGCGCCCCGCAGUCACCCCCAGCGCGGCGCGCGCGGACCGCGCCUCAGAGCCGGCUCCACUGCAGCCUGGCCAAAUCCCUCACGUGACUCCCGUUCUGAUUCGGCUGGCAAAUUUAAUCUGAAGCGCAAGAAUACAAACAGCAUCCAGAAAAUUGGUAUUUAACAUGGUGCAGCAGAAGACCAAGGUGGAGGAAGAUGUCAUCAGAGACAGGGGUGUCCCUCACAAGACAAGAGUGGUAGGCACUCACUGUUUGCUGUCAGAGGAAGGCUGGAGGGAAAGCAGGGCUCUGCUGUGCUGUCAGGGCAGGAUGGAGCAUCCCAUAACACUGGAGCAGUGACAGCCUGGAUUUUCCCGCUGAAGAGACAUGUGGGCAGUGGAGGACGUGCCACAAUGCCACUAAGAAAUUCCAGCGUGGCCUUGGCACAACCGCGCUCAACAGAUUUAUCCUCCUAAGCCCAGCCAAAAGCCCUGAGGAGGGUGGCUGUCUGACCAGCAGAAAAUUUAGAAAUGUGUGAUGCAGGAGACAACACUCCUGGGGCUGUGGUUGGAGCAGGCUUUCACCUGGCAUUAUCCACCUGCAGUGCACGAGGGAUGUGGCAGCUCCACGCAGGAAAAGCUGUCGCUUCAGUUUGCUUCAGUCCCUCUGAAGAAGCUUCCUCAGUAGCAGCUGGUGCAGAGAUCUCAAGUGCAUCUCUCGAGCAACUACGUGCCUACAAAAGCAGACCCUGUCCCAUCUGCAUUAAAAUGAUUGUGAAGUUAAGUUUUAUCGCUGGUAUAUUGAAAGAAAAUCUGUUAUUGCUGUUUAGCCAGUCUUAGUCUGCAUGGGGUGAUGCUGUUUAUACUGUGGCAGAGCGGACGCAGAGAGCCACCGGUUCUGGCUCCUUACACACUGCACCAGAUCACUGAGAUCACUCAGCAGUAAAAUACAGCACGGACGGGGGGAACGCGGCACAGAAAGCUUGGAGGUGGAAAGUCCUGUCUGGGUUAGUACUUGUGAUUCUCCCCAUUCAAACUGGCUGAACACAAUCAAACCUUUCUUUGGAAAUGAAAAACCCCAAAGGCAA